GGAGGGCUGUAGCUCAGUGGUAGAGCAUCCAUUUUGCAUGCAGAAGGCCCCAGGUUCAAUACCCAAUGACAUCUCCA